AGUGAACGCUGGCGGUAGGCCUAACACAUGCCAGUCGAACGGCAGCACAGUAAGAGCUUGCUCUUACGGGUGGCGAGUGGCGGACGGGUGAGGAAUACAUCGGAAUCUACUUUUUCGUGGGGGAUAACGUAGGGAAACUUACGCUAAUACCGCAUACGACCUACGGGUGAAAGCAGGGGAUCUUCGGACCUUGCGCGAUUGAAUGAGCCGAUGUCGGAUUAGCUAGUUGGCGGGGUAAAGGCCCACCAAGGCGACGAUCCGUAGCUGGUCUGAGAGGAUGAUCAGCCACACUGGAACUGAGACACGGUCCAGACUCCUACGGGACGCAGCAGUGGCGAAUAUUGGACAAUGGGCGCAAGCCUGAUCCAGCCAUACCGCGUGGGUGAAGAAGGCCUUCGGUUUGUAAAGCCCUUUUGUUGGGAAAGAAAAGCAGCAGGUUAAUACCCCGCUGUUCUGACGGUACCCAAAGAAUAAGCACCGGCUAACUUCGUG
rnacentral:rRNA from 1 species